rnacentral:rRNA from 1 species
AUUGAACGCUGGCGGCAUGCCUUACACAUGCAAGUCGAACGGCAGCACGGACUUCGGCCUGGUGGCGAGUGGCGAACGGGUGAGUAAUGUAUCGGAACGUACCUUUCAGUGGGGGAUAACGUAGCGAAAGUUACGCUAAUACCGCAUAUUCUGUGAGCAGGAAAGCAGGGGAUCGCAAGACCUUGCGCUGAUUGAGCGGCCGAUAUCAGAUUAGCUAGUUGGUGGGGUAAAGGCCUACCAAGGCUACGAUCUGUAGCGGGUCUGAGAGGAUGUGCCGCCAAACUGGAACUGAGACACGGUCCAGACUCCUACGGGAGGCAGCAGUGGGGAAUUUUGGACAAUGGGGGCAACCCUGAUCCAGCCAUGCCGCGUGAGUGAAGAAGGCCUUCGGGUUGUAAAGCUCUUUCGGCCGGGAAGAAAUCGCAUAGGCUAAUACCCUGUGUGGAUGACGGUACCGGAAUAAGAAGCACCGGCUAACUACGUGCCAGCCGCCGCCGUAA